UAACCUGUUUUUCUCUGUGCCCAGGAUCACACUACCUCCGGGAACCCUGCCGGACGCCACACCCCGCUCAGCACCUAUCUUACCUGGACUUACUCCUCUCCUCCGUGUUCUCCAUUCUGCCCUUUUGUCACCCCUUCAAACUGUACCGAGUCUGCCUUUUGAGUCAAGUUUUUGCACUAUGACAUUAACAGUUUUUGACUUAAUCGACAAUGAGCUUCAUUCAACCGCAUAUCACCUUGAAGAUUUGUACUCAGGCGAGGAAAUAGGUUCUACAAGGGAGAAUGGCAUUCCAUCAGAGCAGGUUGUAGAUCUCUCAGGAGAAGUCGGUAAGUAAGGUUACCUUAACUUUUAAUCAGUGUAUAGGUUUUAUUUAUUUACAAACUUUUACGCAGAUGUGGUAAUACACCCGCAGAUGGUGCGAGCGAAUGUGAGCAGUACUUUAUGCAGGGUCUCUCCACUACCUUUUACGAGGAGAACGCUCCGGUUCUGAAAUCGGAUCAGCCCUCGGUUUCAGUACCGCAAGCGUACAUAACACCGGGGUCCCCGGAACACUAUGAACCCGGAUGUGUCCCCGGAAUCACCCGUCCAGUCAGGCCGCAGAUGGGAGAUCACGAAAUCAUUCAUCCGGACCCAGCAGAACCGUGUACGCCGCUGAAUCAGACUGAGCCUAUACCGAUCAACGGACCUCGGAAAAGGGAACACCGUAGAAGGCUCAUUUCAACCAGCAGUAGCAGGAGCAGCAGCAGGCCACCCACAAGUACAAACAGACCCUGACGAUCCGUGAAAGGCUGUCAGAAUUGCUGUCGGACUGCCAUGAUCAACUAGUUUCAAUGAGUAAUGCUUUCCGACUAAUGGGUGAAAUGCUGGCUGUCUACAGUGAUCAUAAUUAGUAAGGUGAUUUAUCUUUUAUUUGUUUCAUUGGGUAAUUGUAUGAUUGUUUUCACUUGGUCAUUUUAAUUUAUGACGUUGAGAUUUUUUAAGGUCCAAGUGUGUUUUGAUUUUAUGAUAAUGGAUGAAAACAAACCGUUUAACCUCGUCUGAUCAGACGAGGUAGAUCAACAUUUUCAGAAUGAGUCAAACUUUCAAAAUGGUAUAACUGAAAAUAGUGUAACUGAAAACGAGACCUCCUCCAGUCAGUUCUUAGAUCAGUUGCACGCUAUAAAUCAAGCUCUCGUUGAUAUGGAACGCUUAGAAAAUGAAAUACCAACUGCUUUAUUAGAUGAAAUGAACCCUUUAACCAAAACAACAUCCCCUCUUUAAAUACAAAACGCUCUCUCCGAGCUUGAAAAUAAUGCAAUCCCUGCCUUAAUCCCCUCCACAUCCUCGGCCUACCAGACCCCCAUUAACUCCCCCCUCAUGGAGCAGGUAGCCAACACUCCUCCCUUUCAACAGCAAGGGGGUAGCACGACUCAAAAUAUUGACCCUGUGGCACCUCAAGCCACCUCAAGGAGUCAUAUCACGACAUAAAUUCUGUAAUUAUGAAAUACGCCAGGUGUUGCGCUUUCCUUCUCCAACCAAUCAGAGGGUGUAGUGGAUUAUGCUCAGUUUUACAACGGUUCACUGGAGCAGGUAGAUGCGAUUUUACAACAAGCCUUGUCACACAGGAGACCCCAAGAUGUGGUGCAGUUGGAGCUAAGAGGGGAAUUGUACAAUCUAAUUGGACCAUUAUGACAGACGGUGAUCUAGAACUGGUUCUCCAAGUGAUCACCUGCCCUACAAGGGCGGGUAAAAGAGCAAUGGUGGAUAAAAUGUCUUUCUGGGUUCCCCAUAUCUGUGUGAGUACUGUUACACAGGGUACAACUGUGUGCUGAGUCACAGAUGCCCUGCUCAUUGUUCCGUUUGCUAUGACCCUACCUGUAAUCAGAAGGGGUUUCAACGGUGUGUGUGGAGUGUAACAGGACAUGUCGUUCAGAAUUCUGCCUGACUGAUCGUUGUACAAAAAAUGUUAAAUGUGCACAGCUUUACUUCUCAGCAAUGUGUGGUGAAGGUAAACCACACAUGUCCUGCGGUGAAGUGUAAAAUCUGUGGUGAGAAUUUGACCUCUGACGUUACAGAUGAGAGUGAGAUGCAUCAGUGCUACAUCCAGACACUACCACCUGAAACAAACGCACAGAAAAAUUGGUGUUUUAUGAUUUUGAAACAUACGUCAAGGAAAAGGCGUUCACAUACCCUUUUUGGUGUGUACAAACGUUAGAUGGAGCUCUCAAGGCAGAAAUUGUGCCAACGAGUUUCUCAUGCAUUUCAGACGCCCGCUGUGUGUGUUGCUCACAAUGCUCGAGGUUUUUACUCCUACCUACUCAACGCGAUGCUUGAACAGCAUUAAAACCCUCUUUGAUUUUGCAAGGUUCAAAAGUCAUCUGUAUGACAGAUCCUGAUUUUAAUCACAAAUACAUUGACUCACUGUCCUUUCUUUCCAUGCGUUUAGCCGAUAUGCCAAAAGCUCUCGGUUUCGAUGACAGAAUUAAAGGCUAUUUUCCCCAUAAUUUUAGCUCACCUGCCCAUUUGACCUACAUAGGUCCCUACCCAGAGCCAAAAAUGUACGGUGCAGAACGCAUGACUACGGUACAGCUGAAAGACUUUAACACCUGGUACAAGACGGCGCGCUGCGGAUGCAAGCUGUUCAGAAAACAGUAUAGAUGAAACAGCGGUUGACCCGUUUAGCCGUGUGACUAUAGCAUCUGCAUGCAUGAAAGUGUUUGUGACCAACUUCCUUCCUCAAAGUUUGGCCAUCCCCGACCCCGAUAACUACACACGCUAGUUCAAAACGUAUUUAAACGCAGGCAUUCAGUGGUUGCAAUGGGUGGCAAGCACAGAAAACAUCUUCAUUCAACAUGCUUUAAAUGAGGGGGAAAAACAACUGGGAAAAUACUUUGUAGAUGGUUUUGCAGAGAUCCAAGGUGUGAAAUAUGUAUGGGAGUUUCUAGGAUGGUUUUUUCCAUGGCUGUCCGAGUUGUUUCAAAGCUCAUGAGACCAAUCCUUUGAUCGGAUACCCUUUUGAGGAGUUGCGUGCGAGGAGAAAUUACGUGAGCUACAGGCCAUCCACAAUGCUAAAGUGAUUGUCAUGAGAGAGCACACAUGGACAGAGAUUAAUCGUAAAUAACAUCAGGGGUUAAAAGAGUUUUCUCAAUCAGUAUAAAGCUCCUCAACCUCUCUCACCCCGCGAAGCUUUGUAUUAUGGUCGAACCUGUGCAGUAAAGUUGAGAGACUGUGGGUGCUAAUGAAACGGUAGACUACUUUGUGACAUCGCUGUAUCCCUAUGUCAACUGUAGCUUUCCCUAUCCUUUAGGGCACCCAAAAAUAAUCUACAAAGAUUUCAAAGAACCCCAAAGCUACUCUGGAAUAAUAAGAGCCAAAAUCUGUCCACCACAGGUUGGUUUUUUUUAUUGUGUUUUUUUUGCCAUAUAGAACUGCUGCCGGUAAACUCGUCUUCACACUCAGCCGAACGUGCACUGAACUUAAUAUUCAGGAGGGUCCAUGUCAACACAGUGGUGAGGACAGAGCGUUGACAGGGGUCUGGGUCACUGCUGAAUUUAACAAGGCCUUGGAGAUGGGGUAUCGGGUAGCUGAGAUCACAGAGUAUGACAUUUUGAUAGACUCGGUUUUUGUUCAGUACAUGCACACUUUUCUGAAGGGUAAACGGGAAGCUUCAGGUUACCCCCUGAAGCCAAAGAUCAGGCAGCCCGAGAAAAGUACAUCAAGGACUAUCUGACCAAUCAGGGUAUUUUGCUGGAUGCGUCUAAAAUUCAUCCGAAACCUGCAAAAAGACAAGUCUCCAAAUUAUGUCUCCACAUUCUGGGGGAAAUUUGCACAACGCUCGAAUCAGACACAGACUAAACUAAUCACUGACCCUGAAGAGUUUUUUAACUUUGUUUUCUGGAAUUUAUAAAGUUAAAUACUUUUCCUUUGUCAAGGACAAAACAGCAUUGUUGCAGUGGAGUUAUGGUGAGCAAUGUAUUGCCCCUCCAAACAAGGUAGACGACGUCUUUAUAGCUGCUUUCACCACAGCUUAUGGGCGUCUAAAGUUGUACAGUUAUUUGGAGCAGCUGCAGGAGAGGGUCUUGUAUUAUCUAUGUCACAAAAGAGGGGGAGAGACGGCUUGACCUGGGUAAUUACAUGGGAGAUUUGACUGAGUUAGAUGGUGAUAGCAGAAAAGAAUUUGCGGCCGCGGGUCCUAAAAGUUAUGCAUACCAGACUUGUAACAACAAAGUAGUACUUCGUGUAAAGGGAAUCCCCUCAAAUGCAUGAUUGUUGUGAACAAGUUAACUUUAACAGUGUCAAACAGUUGGUGGAGAAUUAUGUGCUAAACUCUGAUGGGGGUGUCAUUGAAACACCUCAGCACAAUAUUGUACGAGAUAAAAGGGGGUUUUUCCUUUAGAAACUCAUCAUUCCAGAAAAGGUUUAGUGUGGUGUAUGACAAGAGACGGUUACUGAGCCAAGGUCAAACCCUGCCUUUUGGCUAUUGAAGAAAAAUGUUUUCAUCCAAUGAAAUUGAGUUUGACCCUAGACUAAGAACACCUUUCUCCUGUCAAAUUGUGGGGCCAUGCGGGUCCGGUAAAACUUAUUUUGUAAAGUCUGUGUUGGAAUCAUGUCAUCGACAACAUGCCUAGUAAUAUUGUUUGGAUUUUUACUUCUUAUCAACCGAUGUACACUGAACUGCAACAGAAGAAUAAAAAGAUCAAAUUUGUC